AGAGUGAUGAAUAUUUAGUAAGCUUCUUUCAAGGGGUGGGUGCUUCUCAGAAUGGCGGUGCAUGUUAAUUAGGUUGCGGACACAUCUGGAAUCCAAGAUGUAACCCGCUGUUAUUCAAGAUGGAGUCUUCUGGCAGCUCUUGGCAUCACUUAUUAUGGGAUAUAGUGCAAGUGCACUGAUCUUUGGCACUACAUCGCCAUCUUCGGAGGUCUAAGGAAGGUUAAACAGUGCUCACACUUUGUUCUUCUGCGCAUGUGGGAGCCCGUAAAGUGGGAAAAAAAAAAAAAAGUGGGAAGGGACUAGAAAAACACUAAGAAGGAGAAAAUAAUUCACUGGUUGUUUCAACCUUAUCUCAUGUCGACAGGGUGUGGUUCCUGUUUACCCAACUUCUAGAUGGUAAUCUUUUAAGGGCUCUUUUCUUCAGCCAGCACAAGGGGACUGUGGAACCUCUCACCUGGCCCUUGGGAAGGCAGAUGUUGGCCCCUCCCUAAUCCUUCCCACCAGGACCUGAGCUCAGGAAGUCUCAGCCUCUCCCACAAGCCCUACCCCAGGCUGCCCCUCCCUCAUUGCCCUCCCCACAGAGUCCCUCCUCCUCCAGGAAGCCUCUCAGGCCUGACAGCUCUGGGCACUGGGCCCCCAGGGGAAGCUCUAGGGAUUAUAAGUGGUGUGUAGGCUUUCAGACCCUGGGGUGGGGCAUUGGACACAGGGGUCUGGACCUAAUGCUGUGUCUACACAACAAACUCAUGGUCCUCUUUUCAAGCACCUCAGAGGAACAAGGACAUUUUGUUACCACAAAACAUGGAUUCAAGCCACCUGCUGCAAAGCCGAUACUGAGACGGGGUGAGGGAAACCUCUGCGUUCUGAGCAAAAAGCAGAAAACAGGAGGGAGGAGAAAGGAACCGGCCACUCCUUUAAAGCCCCAUCCUGGGCCCUGGUCAGCAGUCUGAGGGAGACUUCCACUGAGGGGAGCUUAGAUUCCUUCCCAGGUGACAGAAGCCCUGCGGGGUGAGGAGGCAUCAGGAGCUGACACCAGGGGCAGCCAUCACAGUCCCAUCAGCCCUUCAGGGAUUCAGGAGGGGCCCAGGGAGAGCUGUGGCUUGAAGAGGGUGAAGGGCAGGACCUUUGCUCCUAGAGGAUGACAGCCAGGGGGCAAAGUACAGCAAGGUGGGGACUAGGUGCCCUCUGGAACCAACCAGAAGCAGAGGACAAGAGGGGUGAGCUCGUUACUCUGAGAAGAUGCCAGUGCCAAGUGGAAUUUCCGCUAGCUCCCUGAAUUUUGGUACCAUAGUCCUGGACGCCCUGGCUACAGGGUCUGCAGUAUGUCCUGCUGCAUGUGUGCUGGUUGAGGAUGUUGCUCUGGUUGCUGCAGGAACCUGCAUCCGGCAGAGAGAGAGACAGACGGAGAGCUGUUGCCAGAAGCUCCAUCUGCCAGCCAGAGAGAGAGAGAGAGAGAGAGCUGUUGUCCCUGAAGCCUGCAUCUGCCGGAGAGAGAGAGGGAGAGAGAGGGCUGUUGUUGCUGGAGUUUGUAUCUGCCAGAGAGAGACAGAGAGCUGUUGUUGCCAGAGUAGGCAUCUGCCAGAGACAGAGGGAGACAGAGACAGAAUGCUCUAGCACUGGAGAAGGUGCCAGAAGGUGAGAAGCUGGGGCAAGUGAGGCUGAGAAAUGGUGUAGCAGAACCAGGAGACCAGCCGGCACCAGAAGGUUCUAGACCAAAAAGGAAAAGAAGACAGCAUGAUGUUGACAGGAAUCAUCUCCCAUCAUUCCCCUACAGGGCCUGUUCACUUUCCUACAUGCUUUAAAAUUUCAGCUUGAGGUAAGUAAAUUUUUUUUAUCACAACUGAUUUUAUUUUAAAUGAGCAUAAAAUUUCUUUAUAAAUAAAGCUUUUUUUUUUUUGUCAAAUAGAGAAACUGUCUUACGUUGUCUGUGAAUGGGUGGAGUGCCCCAUGUUAAUGAUUUUUUUUUUCAUUGACGUUAGUUACAUUUAUCACAGUUUGUCAACAUUCUCUUUGUGUCUACACCUGUCCAUAUGUGCUCAGACAUUUUUACUUUGUUUGUGCUAUGCUCACUACAACCGCAUCGGUGUCGCUUUUCACAUCACCAAAAAUAACAAGCCUUACAACUGGACCAAUAAGAGACAUUACGAAAAACGGAGAAAAGAUUGAAGUUGUCAAGGGUUUCUUUUUACUUGGAUCCACUAUCAACACCCAUGGAAGCAGCAGUGAAGAAAUCAAAAGAUGGAUGGCAUUGGGCAAAUCUGCUGAAAAAGAUUUCUUAGAAGUGUUAAAAAGCAAAGAUGUCACCUUGAGGACUAAGCUGCGCCUGACCCAAGCCACAGUGUUUUCAUUCGCCUCAUAUGCAUGCGAAAGCUGGACAAUGAAUAAAGAAGACUGAGGAAGAAUUGACCUUUGAAUUAUGGUGUUGUAGAAGAAUAUUGAAUAUACCAUGGACUACCCAAAGAACGAACAAAUCUGUCUUGGGAGAAGUACGAUCAGAAUGUUCCUUAGAAGCAAGGAUGGCGAGUCUACUUCUCACAUACUUUGGACAAGUUGUCAGGAGAGAUCAGUCCCUGAAGAAGGACAUCAAACUCGGUGAAGUGGAGGGUCAGUGAAAAAGAGCAAGACUCUCAACAAGACGGAUUAACAUAGUGACUGCAAAAAUGGGCUCAAGCAUAACAAUGAUUGUGAGAAUGGUGCAGGACCAGGCAGUGUUUCAUUCUGUUGUACAUAGAGUCACUAUGAGUCUGAGCCAACUUGACAGCAACUAACAACACAUUCUAAAGUGAACUUUUCCCUCCCCCCUCUUCUACCUGGUAACCACCAAUGAACAUUGCUCUCUCUCUGUUUAUCUGUUCUUGUCUUCUCAUAAAAGAGGGCUCAUACAAAAUUUGUCUUUAUACUACUCAUCAGACAUGGAAGGGACUGGACAAUGGGCUGGAGAGAGAUGCUGAUGAAGAGUGAGCUACUUGUAUCAGGUGGACAUUUGAGACUGUAUUGGCAUCUCCUGUCCGGAGGGGAGAUGGGAGGAUAGAGAGGGUUAGAAACUGGCAAAAGGGUCAUGAAAGGAGAGACUGGAAGAAGGGAGGGGGCUGACUCAUUAGGGGGAGAGUAAAUGGGAGUAUGUAGUAAGGUGUAUAUAAGCUUACAUGUGACAGACUGAUUUGAUUUGUAAACUUUCACUUAAAAAAAAAUUAAAGCACAAUAAAAAUUAUUUUUAAAAAAUUUGUCUUUAUAUGCUUGACUUAUCUCACUUAGGAUUAUACUUUCAGGUCCAUUCAUGUUUCAUAGACUCAUCAUUGUUCUUUGUGGUUGUAUAGUAUUCCAUUGCAUGCAUGUUCCACAAUUUGCUUAUCCAUUCAUCUCUUGAUGGGCACUUUGGUUGUUUCUGGGUUUUUUUGCUAUUGUGAAUAAAGCUGCAACGAACAUAGAUGUGUAUAUGUCUGUUCGUGUCACUACUUUUAGGUCUCUAGGAUAUAUUUCUAGGAGUGGUAUUGCUGGACCGUAAAAACCAUAAGGUAGCUCUAUUUCUAGUUUUUUUUAGCAAGGGUCAUACCAUUCUCCAUAGUGGUCGUACCAUUUUAUAGUCCCAUCAGCAAUGGAUAAGUGUUCUAGUCUCCCCACAUCCUUGACAACAUCUGUCAUUUCCUGUUUUUUUUUUCAUUUUGUCGGAGUGAGGUGGUACUUCAUUACAGUUUUGAUUUGGAUCUCUCUGAUAGCUAAUGGAACUCUGGUAGCUCAGUAGUUAAGAGCACAUCUGCUAACCAAAAGGCUGGCACUUCGAAUCUACCAGACUCUCCUUGGAAACCCUACGGAGCAGUUCUACUCUGUCAUUAUGAGUCAGA